rnacentral:rRNA from 1 species
AUACGAAAGGUGCAAGCGUUGUUCGGAUUUACUGGGCGUAAAGAGAGUGUAGGUGGUUUAUUAAGUCAGAUGUGAAAUCCCGGGGCUCAACCUCGGAACUGCAUUCGAUACUGAUAGGCUAGAGUUUGGGAGGGGUAAGCGGAAUUCCGUGUGUAGCAGUGAAAUGCGUAGAUAUACGGAGGAACACCUGAGGCGAAGGCGGCUUACUGGACCAAUACUGACACUGAGACUCGAAAGCGUGGGUAGCAAACAGGAUUAGAAACCCUAGUAGUCC